rnacentral:lncRNA from 1 species
GCCCCCCAGAGUGCUGGGAUUACACACUUCUCCUGUGUUAUUUUUUCUCUUAGCAGUGGGCAACAAGGAUGGAGACAGCAACAGGAUGUUCGGGCUGUCGGCAUCACCCUUCUGGCGCUGCAGUCUGUCCCCGAGGGAAGAGCUGCUCUGCUGCCCUCCCUUCCAGUCAGCCUGGUGUUUGGCUGUAACCAGGCUCCAGAAGCGCGGAGCUCGGGAUGUCAAUGGCCAGAUGAAGGAUAACCAUGAGUCAUCUCCUUCUGUCUCUGAGAAGAAAGAAAGACCUUUGCCGCUGGCUCUAUGCACCACAGAACAGAGCGCAGACCAAGCUUGCAGAAGAGCUCAGUUUAGAUGUUGGCUCUCCCACCCAGAUCGUGGGCUAGGAAUGUGGUCUCCAACUCUUUGCCUGUUUAACUGCAGUUGA